CGCACCUUGCGCUCUUUGGUAUUCCGAAGAGCAUGCCUGUUUGAGUGUCAUUAAAUUCUCAACCUUAAACCCUUUUAUUAGUGGUCUAAGGCUUGGAUGUGGGAGUUGCAGGUCUCUAGUUAGAUCUGCUCUUCUUAAAUGUAUUAGUGAUGGCUUGUAUCUGUCCCUUGGUGUGAUAAUUAUCUACGCCUUGGUGUAUGGUUUACUUUAAAUGUCGUUGCUUAUAACAGUCCAUUAGAUUGGACAACUUUUUAUUGACUUGACCUCAAAUCAGGUAGGACUACCCGCUGAACUUAA
rnacentral:misc_RNA from 1 species